UGGAUCCCUUUGUCCCAAAGAUAUUAAAGUCUUAUCCAAGGGGGAAAAUGCACGCUGUACCACUAAUCCAUAUCGAUUUUCCAUGUCAAAUUCAUUAAGCAUUUGUUUGGAUACAUAAUUAAAUCCAAACCCUCUAGUUAUGUCUGAAUCCAAAAUUAUCAUUUUGUAUAAGCAAAAUGUCUCCUUCUCAAAGCAAGGAUGACUAAUUCAAUGAUGUCUUGCUGGAUUCCAAAAACACCGGUCUCUGCAAGCCAGAGAGUGGCACGGAUUGAUAGUGCAAAACAAGAAAGUCGUACAGACUGAGCUGCUUGUGUCUGCCUUUGCCUCUGAGGGGAUCUACAGUGGGAUGCUUUAUUAGUAGUGCGCAAACAGCUUCUCAUUGUCCUUUUCUUCUUCUUUUUUCUUGCAUAUAUUGAAAAGAAUCUUUGUCCAGCCCUUCUUACAUUCCCCCCUUUUUAUUUCCAUACUAUGAAACAUGAAUGAUCAGUGGUUCUAUUUCUUGAA